GGACCAGGGCAGGCCAGUGUCGCUUCUAGGGCUGCAAAGCUGUUCGCUCAGGUUCCUAGCCGGCUGCUUUUUGGCGUCGGGUCCUCAGCAUGGCUGCCUCCAGGGUUGAGAGCUGGGGAGCUGCCACACCCUCGUUUUGCUGACUGUUCCUGGAGUCUGUGUUCUUCUUGUCUUUCCUGGGCUACCCUAGCAGACAUGUUCGCUAAGGCCUUUCGGGUCAAGUCCAACACGGCCAUCAAGGGGUCGGACAGGAGAAAACUUCGGGCCGAUGUGACCGCUGCUUUCCCCACCCUUGGAACAGAUCAGGCCUCUGAGUUGAUACCUGGGAAGGAAGAGCUAAACGUGGUGAAGUUGUAUGCUCACAAAGGGGACGCAGUGACUGUGUACAUGAGUGGAGGGAACCCCAUCCUGUUUGAACUGGAGAAAAAUUUGUAUCCAACAGUGUACACACUGUGGUCAUAUCCUGAUCUUCUGCCAGCCUUUACAACAUGGCCUCUGGUACUUGAUAAGCUGGUCGGGGGAGCAGAUUUGAUGCUGCCAGGGGUAGUGGUGCCCCCUACUGGUCUGCCUGAGGUACAGCAAGGCGACCUCUGUGCCAUUGCCUUGGUGGGGAACAGAGCUCCUGUAGCAAUCGGAGUGGCUGCCAUGUCCACAGCUCAGAUGCUGGCAUCAGGCCUGAAGGGGAAGGGCUUCUCUGUGCUCCACACUUAUCAGGACCACUUGUGGAAAUCUGGAGACAAGUCCUCUCCACCUGCCAUUGCCCCAUUGGCAGUGAAUCCCACAGAUAGCAAUGAAGAGAAGGUGGACCUUAGUCUGCAAGGAAACCUGAGCUGCCUUACCCUGGAGGGAGAGGAGGAGAACAGGAAGGUUCAUCACCCAGAAGCAUCUGAAGACACCAGCUCCGGGGCCCAGAGCCAGGACUGUGUGGAUGGCAAGCCCCUUCAAGAACAAAUGGAUGAGCUGUUACACCAGUGCUUCCUGCAUGCCUUGAAGAGUCGAGUCAAAAAAGCUGACCUCCCUUUGCUCACUAGUACUCUCCUUGGCAGUCACAUGUUCUCCUGCUGCCCCAAAGGACAGCAACUGGACAUAAAGAAGUCAAGCUAUAAAAAGCUCUCAAAGUUCCUGCAGCAUAUGCAGCAGGAGCAGAUUGUUCAGAUCAAGGAGCUGAGCAAAGGAGUGGAAAGCAUUGUGGCUGUGGACUGGAGGCACCCGAGGAUCACAUCUUUUGUCAUCCCCGAGCCUUCCCUGACUUCCCAGACUGUCCAGGAGGGUAGCAGGGAACAGCCCUAUCACCCUCCAGAUAUAAAAUCCCUCUACUGUGUCCCAGCCAACAUGACCCAGCUCUUCCAGGAGUCUGGCCACAAGAAGGGGAACGCGCUUGAGGGCAGUGAGGUACGCAGGAUCAUCAUUGACUAUGCCAAGAAGAACAACCUGGUGGAUGCAGACAACAGAAAUCUGGUGAAAUUGGAUCCUAUCUUAUGUGACUGCAUCUUAGAGAAAAAUGAACAGCACGUGGUCAUGAAGCUGCCAUGGGACUGCCUCCUGACCAGGUGUUUGCAAAAUAUGCAGCCUGCCUACCAAGUGACGUUUCCUGGACAGGAACCCAUUCUGAAGAAAGGAAAACUCUGUCCAAUUGACAUCACCCUUGCACAGAAGGCUUGUAAUAAAAAGGUGACUGUGGUCCGGAACUUGGAGACCUAUGGUCUUGACCCAUGCUCAGUGGCUGCCGCUCUCCAGCUGCGAUGUCAGGCCAGCACCAUCGUCUCUCCUGCCCCUGGGGCCAAAGACAGUCUACAGGUGCAGAUCCAAGGAAACCAGAUCCACCACCUUGGCCAGCUAUUGCUUGAAGAGUAUCGGCUCCCUGGAAAAUACAUCCAAGGCCUAGAAAAGGCCCCCAAACCUGGCAAGAAGUGACAGACUCAUUUUAUGCAGUGGAUCCCAUGGGAACCCAGGUUCUGAGCUGGAUAGUUAAGAAGUUCUGGAGUUCAGGAAUGGAAAAGGCAUCCCACUGUGAGGCAGGGAGGAAGAAGUGGAAAAACAAGGAGAAAUGGUUAGAGGUUGACAUGACCCAAGGGCCCUGCCACUGUCUCCAGCCUACAUCAGUGAGCCAGCCCCACGCAGUUUGAACAUGCAGAGAACUGGGUGUGGGGCUGAAGACCUGGAGGACAGCUGGGUCCAUCUGAAUUGCAUCAGGAACCAUGGUCCAAAGGGACAAGAGCUCCCCUCCGUCCCCUCUGCUGCUCCGCUCUGCUCUUCUCGGUGCUUGCAACCUGCUUUCUCCUUGUGUCAGCCAGACCUCGCCUCAGCCAAGCUCAAACAGGUCUUCAUUUCCUCUCUCUUAGCAUGUCUGUCAGCAGCAGCUGUCGGGCCCCUGAGUGGAAACCUCUAAGCCCAAGCCAGGGAGAGAGCUGCAGGCAUGUACCGUGAACAAAAGGCCAUGCAGAGGCCCUCCUGUCCCCCUGGGGUUUCUGUUGCACUUGCCCUAAAUGGGAACCUGGGGAUGGGGAAGGAGAGACACCCACAUCUGUCUAGGCUGGGUUUAAAAUGCCAGGAUCAAUAUACAAGCACAGUAAAGGCUACAGGUCCCUUUGUGACAGCCUCAACAAGAUACAAAGGGGAUUCUCCAGUGAGACACACUGUCCGGUCCCUUCCUAGUUCCAAAAUCAGUCCCUUCCAAAAUGCCCAUGUUCUGGGGGGUUCCUCUGUUCUACCCAUGACAAUAAAAGGGUUCAUUCCA